UGAGGAAUAUUGGGCAAUGCCCGCAAGGGUGACCCAGCAACGCCGCGUGGAGGAUGAAUGUCGUAAGAUUGUAAACUCCUGUUAGAGGGGAAGAAUAGUACCGGUUGGACCGGUAUAUGACUGUACCCUCAGCGAAAGCCCCGGCUAACUACGUGCCAGCAGCCGCGGUAAUACGUAGGGGGCAAGCGUUGUCCGGAUUUACUGGGUUUAAAGGGUGCGUAGGUGGGCUUAUAAGUCAGUGGUGAAAUCUCCGAGCUUAACUUGGAAACGGCCGUGGAAACUAUAGCUCUUGAAUUAUCUGGAGGUAAGCGGAAUAUGUCAUGUAGCGGUGAAAUGCUUAGAUAUGACAUAGAACACCAAUUGCGAAGGCAGCUUACUACAUAUAAAUUGACGCUGAGGCACGAAAGCGUGGGGAUCAAACA
rnacentral:rRNA from 1 species